rnacentral:rRNA from 1 species
CAGGGAAUCUUGCACAAUGGGCGAAAGCCUGAUGCAGCGACGCCGCGUGGGGGAUGAAGGCCCUAGGGUCGUAAACCCCUUUCAGCAGGGACGAAGAUGACGGUACCUGCAGAAGAAGCCCCGGCCAACUACGUGCCAGCAGCCGCGGUAAGACGUAGGGGGCGAGCGUUGUCCGGAUUUACUGGGCGUAAAGGGCGCGUAGGCGGCAUGACAAGUCACUUGUGAAAUCUCUGGGCUUAACCCAGAACGGCCAAGUGAUACUGUCGCGCUAGAGUGCAGAAGGGGCAAUCGGAAUUCUUGGUGUAGCGGUGAAAUGCGUAGAUAUCAAGAGGAACACCUGAGGUGAAGACGGGUUGCUGGGCUGACACUGACGCUGAGGCGCGAAAAGCCAGGGGAGCAAACGGGAUUAGAUACCCCCGUAGUCCCUGAGCGGGCUGGCAAGGCGCAU